rnacentral:lncRNA from 1 species
CAGAAUCACAGAACUUUAGGGGUUGGAAGGGACCUCGAAAGAUCAUUGGGUCCAACUCCCCUGCCAAAGCAGCUUCCUCAGAGCAGGCUGCCCAGGUAGGCAUCCAGACAUGCCUUGAAUGUCUCCAGAGAAGGAGACUCCACAACCUCCCUAGGCAGCCUGUUCCAAUGCUCCGUCACCCUCACCAUGAAGAAGUUCUUUCGCAUGUCAGUGUGGAACUUCCUGUGCUCUAACUUGCAGCCAUUGCCCCUUGUCCUAUCCCCACAAACCACUGAGAAGAGGUUGGCUACAUCCUUCUGUCCCCCACCCCUCAGAUAUUUAUAUACACUGAGGAGGUCCCCUCUCAGUCUUCUCUUCUCCAGGCUGAACAGCCCCAAGUCUCUCAGCCUUUCUUCAUAGGGAAGAUGCUCCAGGCCCCGUUUCAUCUUUGUGGCCCUCCGCUGGACUCUGUCCAGGAGUUCCCUGUCUUUCUUGUACUGGGGAGCCCAGAACUGGACACAGUACUCCAGGUGAGGCUUGACCGGGGCAGAGUAGAGGGGGAGGAUGACCUCCCUUGACCUGCUGGCCAUGCUCCUUUUAAUGCACACCAGGAUCCCAUUAGCCCUCUUGGCCACAAGGGCACAGUGCUGGCUCAUGGUCAACCUGUCGUCCACCAGGACCCCCAGGUCCUUUUCGUCAGAGCUCCUCUCCAGCAUGUCAUCCCCCAGCCUGUACUGAUACAUGCGGCUGUUCCUUCCCAGGUGCAGGACGCUACACUUGCUCUUAUUAAAUCUCAUUUGUUUUCUUCCUGCCCAUCUCUCCAGCCUGUCCAGGUCUCGCUGAAUGGCAGCACAGCCUUCUGGCGUGUCAGCCACUCCUCCCAGCUUUGUGUCAUCAGCGUACUUGCUGAGGGCAGACACUAUUCCCUCAUCAAGGUCAUCAAUGAAGAUGUUGAGCAAGACCGGACCCAGCACCAACCCCUGGGGAACACCGCUAGUCACAGGCCUCCAGCCUGUUUAAGGCAACCCUGCACCCUCACUUUGAAUACUAAUUUUGAUUCCAUUCACCUCAUCUUUAUAAAGUUUGUUUUGCCUCAUCUUCUCAACCCAGAUUUAUCAGUAGUCUGGCGACCCUCAGAGACUAUUUGAGAAGUGGUACAGUUUUGGCAAGG